UGUGUGUGAGAGUGAAGGAUUAUAGCAUGCCGAGUGACUUGGAUCAAAUGCCCAUAGGUGCAAGGUACAAAAUUGUAAAGGCUGGAUAUUUCCGAGAGAAGAACAAGUCCCGUUGGUUAAAGGUUCUUAAAGAAAUGAAAGAAGCAGAUGUAAAACCAGAUGAUCGGAUUUUCAGCCAUCUAUUACACUAGGAAAAAGAGUACUUACCCUUGUUGCUAGCCGAGAAGGGCAUAUUCCAGUAGAGCUUAAAUGCGGUUUAAAGCGUGCUGGUCCAUUCCCUUGCUUCUUCAUGGGCAUUUAAUGUAUACUAGCAUUUAUCUAUUUUUCGUCGGUUGUAUACUAGCACUUUGAGCACACACGAUGCGUGUGGUGGUGUAUUAAUACAUAAAUAAAAAAGGUUCUCUAAUAAAUUAUAAGUCAUUGUAAACAAAUUAUUAUUAUUUGAAAUGGAAACAUUAUUAUUAUCUUGUUCUAGGAUAUUAUGCGUUAUUCUAGGAUAUUCUUUAUGUGUGUCUUGACCUUAUGCCAUCAGGAUAUGUAGUUAGAAUAAGACUAUAUAUUCAUUAUCAUUACCUUAUUGAUAUUUUGUAAUUUCUUCUAUAAAGGGGUUUUAUUAAUGAAUAAUAAGAUGGUUCUCUUGCUAUCUCUUUCUCUACACUUUUCUUUUCAUCACGUUAUCUUAGAUUGGAUAUGAAUCUUCACCUAUAAUCCGUUUAUGUAGAAAUCUUGUUACGUGAUCUCAUUCACUGCUAAAUUACAGAUUGUUAUUUUGAUGAGACAGUAUUUCCGUCGUUAGGGAGAGAUAAAAACACAAGUGUUCUAGUGGAACAAUGUGAAUUGUCGUGGUUUGUUCCCACUAAGUCUCAUCUUGAUCACAAAUGCUUAAAGUGUUAAAGCGAUAAGAUCACAUGCUGCAAAUAUGUCUGUAAGGAUUAAUGACCUACAAGAGGACAUGGCGCGACCAAAGGUGUUGGUCUUGACGCCAUCACUAUAGAUAGUGAAAUGGUGACCUCAUAUAGUGACAAAAUUGAUGUCACAAGGCCGUGUGGCUCCCCAAAAGGAGGAAGGCUCUCAGGUUCGAUAUUUUCUCGUACUAAGAAGAAAGCGAGCUUGACACAACCUGAUCCAUUGAUCAGUGAUACUCAAAUCAGUCUCAUGAAGUCUGAAUUGUGAUUAUCGUUGGGGGACGCCUCAAUGUUAAAUUCAAUCUAUAUAGAGACCUCUAUAAGUAUUACACUAGUGCACAUGAGGACAUGAGAUAAUGAGUAUACUAUCGAACCACCCUUCGUUGAUGGAUAUCAACUUAGUUGAUUGGCCUAAUGGAAAGAUGGGAUCCCACACUAACAAAGAGAUAGGUCUUUGGGCAAGUGAUGCUGACACCACAAGCUAAACCCUAUCAACUAUGCCUUUGUAAGAUAGCGUAGUGAGAACAAGAUCUUGG